CCAAAGUUUUAGCCGCGCUAGGAGAGCUUCCGAGGCAAGUUUUGGAGAGUUUCGGUAAAGACUAACAAGUUGGAAGAAUAAGAAAAGCUAGUAAGGCGCGGUACAGGUACACCUAGACAAGUAGAAGCUACUAUAGAAGAUGUUCCAGCGGGGUUAGCAACUCCACUUGUUCCUGGAGUACUG